GGCAGUGUGUGAUAGUUUUCAAUGUGUGACUGUCACACAAGGGGGUGUGUGUGUGUGUGUGUGUGUGUGUGUGUGUGAAAGAGAGAGAGAGGAGGGAGAGAGAAAGAAGAAAUAAUUCCAAGUAUGGGCAAACACAGCUCAUUGGAUUCUCAGAACUUGUUAGAGCUGGAGUCUACAAUGUAGAGGAAGAAAUGGUCUAGUAUGAAGUGAAGCUGGAGAAAGGCAGUGGAAAAUCUCCACCGAAGUGCAAAUCGCAGCCACCAAAACCAGACCUACUGAAUCAAAAUAUAGAGGUAGGUCCUGGGGAUCUACAUUUGUAACAAGUUUCCUAUGUGCUUCUUACACUCACUCAAGUUGAGAUGCCAUCCACGGCAGAUGGUGGGGAAACUCUGAGGGCGUUUCCUCUUCCUUCCGUUCUUAAUCAUUAUUCUUACCAUUGAUUAGCCCCACCCAGUGGACUGAGGGGCUUAGAUCAUGGCUCAGUCUCACUUAGCCAUGACAGUGAUGUGGGCAAGAGGGGAGGACAUACCACCAUCUAUGAAAGGUAAUAGCCACCGCUAUUGACACAUCUGGCCAUUUGCUCUUUAGGCCUUAAUGAUUGACAUGAUCUUGGAAAACAGGUAUGUAGCAAAACUCUCCUAGAAACCUGAAAGAUGUGGCAAGAAGAAAACAUGGAGCCUUUUCUGAACAAGCCUAUGAGAGAAGAAGAAUCACUUCAAUUUAUUAAGUGUGGAUUCUGGGGCUAAAGAACUUACCUACAACCACACAGCCAGCAAAUUACUGACCCAGCAUAUUCUGAACCCAGGUCUUUAUUCUUUCCAAAACUUCACAGCACCUUCCUCAGAGCAUCUCUACAUGAAAAUCUGUAUAAAGAAGUGAUCUGUGGUGUCGCCAUUUGUAUCAAAAUGGUAUCACAAACUUAUUUAAAAGGCUUCAUCUAAAAGUCUUCAGAGUUUUGGCCAGGGAAGAGCUCUAAUAUCACACAUUAAUAACCUUACCUUUGUAACAUGUAAAUUGUUUUUUGUUUUAACAUCUCAGUUUCAUUAAACUGAGACCAGAAAGAGCCAUCAUCUUUUUACCAAUUUGUAAUCAUUUUAUUGUGUUAUGGACCUGCAGCAAUGCUGACUAUAUUUACAAAUCUGUGAGUGAAAUUUUAAAACCAUUUUCCUCUUCUAAUCUCUCCCAUCCUGCCUUCUUAGAAGCACACAAAGCAUCUCAACCACUCCCAAAUUCCCUGUUGGAAUACCCUUAAUGAUUCUGAAAUAUUUUGUUAUUCCCCAAACACCUCCCUAAGACGAAUCACUGGACUCCAGGCUCUUCACAUUGCCAAGUUGAAUCGAGUUCAAAUGUUCUAUCUAACCAAACUCUAACUUACAACAAAGCCACAUAUAGUAGAUGAUGUGUAAGAUAUUCCGAAAAUACCAAGGCAACAGGGAAAAAAAAUCUGUGUCAUCAAGAGGUCCUCCCAGAACUUCUUGUAAUCUAGAAUAAUCAAUUUUGUCAAGCUCCUGUAACCUAAUCAUAGCACACAUGUGUAUAUAUGUAUAACUAAUAACAUAAAUCAACUUUCAUUUUAAUAAUGUAUAGCUUAAGUUUUCUCACAUCCAAAACAAUUAGUGUUGCCAAAUUUAAGAUUAUUUCUCUACUUUAGACAUCAGAACAUGCACAAGGACUUGAGGAAUAAACAAAUCCAAGAAAACAAUCUUAGCCUGAUAAAGUAAAAAUUUUGAAUAAAUUCAUAAAUCAUUUAAAACACAAUCUUGUUAAAUUAGCUAUUUCAUAGUAUGUUAUGAAUGUAAAAGCAGAACACAGAAAAGGCAUUUUCCAAAAAGAUAUAGGACUUAGUAGGAUUUCCUUUUAUGUUAAAAAAUGGCCCAUGGAAGAGCAGUUUUCAGAAUGACCAGGGCAUAGUCAGACACCUCUUUCAUUGGAAGCUUCACCAAAGGGCACACUUCUCCUGAACUCAGAGUUUUGAGUCCAGACCCAGCUCUUGCCAAAGUUCACUGGGAGUUUUGCUAAGCUUCAAGAUGAUCCCACCUGAAAGCUCUUUGGAGACAAAGUUAAGGCCUUCUUCUUGCCGCUGUUGGGUUUAUUUGACCCCAGAAGCUCUGCCCCAUCCUGCCUCUAGGAUGAAUCCUAAGUGGAAACAAAAGACACUAAGGGAGCUCUAUCGCCGUAACGAGGAAUUCACAUCAUGUCACCGUACUUAGUUAGUCCAGCCCUGAUCAUAUGCCUCAAUGCUGGUAACUGGGCAUCUUCUUUCUUCUCCUUCUGAUAAUCAGAUCAAGAAUUCGCCUCCUCUUGAAAGCAUUUUCACAUUCUUGGCACAGGAGAAGAGAAAGUGAGACACAACCUUGUUCCUCCAGAAGUUCACAGAAGAACAAAGGAGACAGUGAUAGAAAUGAUACAUAUGCAAGGCAGCAUUUGGAAAAAUAGAGGACUAUCCGCAGUACGGUGAGAACAAGAAAGAAGAGGUGAGCCCUCUGCCUGGGCGGAUCAGGAAGGUUCCACAAAGAGACAUUCCACUGAGGCCUAAAGAAUGAGGAAGCAUGCACCAGGCAGAUGAGUGGAGAAGGGUGUUCCUGGUAUGUGGUUGUCAGGUUGCCAGACCAACACCCAAGUGUCAAUUUAACCCCAACUGUAGCUCCGCCAGUGCUGCAGGCUUAUGUCAGAAACAGAAAUGGGAUAGGUUUUUGUAGGCCAGCCUGGGAAUACUUGUUUCUGUUGGGAGAUUAGCUCUAAAACCCUCAAUAAAAGAGAGUUGGCCCUGGGCUUAUGCCAACACAUAUGUACCCACUGCCACUACCACCACUCAUCACCUUGGGCAAACAAGAAAAGCAGUUCAGUGUCAGGAGGAACAAUUCUUGCACUUUCACUUUCUUUCACUAACUGAUCUUGUGAAUGCAAGGUCAUGAGUAAGGCCUUUUGGGGACUGCACAUACAAGACAGGUCCACACUCCAAGGAGCUUAACAACAGGCUAUGCUAGGCCAGGUGCAGUGGCUCACACUUGUAAUCCCAGCACUUUGGGAGGCCGAGGCGGGUGGAUCACGAGGUCAGGAGUUUGAGAGCAGCUCGGCCAACAUAGUGAAACCCCAUCUCUACUAAAAAUCCAAAAAUUAGCCAGAUGUGGUGGCACACACCUGUAGGCCCAGCUACUCAGGAGGCUGAGGUGGGAGAACCACUUGAACCCAGGAGGCAGAGGUUGCAGAGAGCUGAGAUCAUGCCAUUGCACUCCAGCUUGGGUGUCAGAGUGAGACUCUUUUUAAAACAAACAAACAAACAAACAAAACAGGCAACAGGCUAUGCAGGCAAGACCCGUGCAUAUAAAAUAACUGAGAGUCCAAGGCAGUAGCUGCCAAAAUAAUGACACAUUCUAUAAGCACUACUGUCCUAGCCAUCACUGCUUUCUGGAGAGAAUAAUUCAAUUUAGUUGAAAAAGUGUUUUACAUUAAAUGCCCACUAAAAGUCUGUUGAUUAUGUAAGACUGCAUUCUGAAUUUCACAAGGCAGGAUCCACCAAGUUCCAUAAAUGUAAAUAAGUUUUCCUCCCAAAAGUAACAGGUUAAGUCAACUCUGGAAAGACUAUGGGGAGUUUAAUUAAUAGGAAUUCUGGUUUACUCAAUACAAGAAACACAUCAAACUGAAUAGGUAUGAAAAAGCAUUUCCCACCAGUUGAAGCUGUCUGAAUUAAAAUGAACCGCCUUGGGAGGUAAUAAGUUUCCCGUCAAGCUAGAUAAUUACUUGGCAGUGAUUUGGUAGGGGUGAUGCAAGCAUUCAAUGACCAGUAGGCUCCCUUCCAGUCCUGUGAUUGUGUGAAUUUCUGCAGCUCCCCCUUGAUAACACAAUAAAACCUGGGAACCCACACUGCAAGGUUUUCAAUGUUGAAGAUUAGCCAUGGGUUAGGCUUAUUCAGGGUACCAGAGCCUAUUCUGAAUGGUGGUGAGGAAACAGAGAAUGGGAAGGUCGAACUUCUACCAAGAACCUGACCAAACUCCCAGGGUGCUAGUCAGUAUCUGGGGAGAGCUUCAGAAUGCCAAAACUCAUUAGUGCUCAAAAAAGGUCAUAGUUAUUAGACAAGGGCACUCCAUUAUGAAGUCCUAACUAAAGAACUAAAAAAAAAAGCCCCUUGAAGACAAGAUGUGUAGGAUUCUAGAGUAUUUUGAAAGGCUCUUCCAAUGCUGACCCCUGAGGGUCCCUCAUGAAUGUUAGCACAUCCAGAUUCUUGGGAAACUCCAAGCAAAGCUGUUGUCAAAGAUGUGCCCAAGAAGAGUGCCUCCAAAAGUAAACAAGCAGGAGAUAGACAAGACAGUUAUACAGGUCUCCUGAGUAAAGUAUACAGGACUGAGAUGGUGAAUGCAGAAGAGGAGUAACAGCCUGAGGGGACCCGGACAACCAAGAAACUGGUUGUUUAAAAUCCUGGCAUCUUGUAAAUUUGUUUGAGUUCAUUGUUGAUUCUGGAUAUUAGCCCUUUGUCAGAUGAGUAGAUGGCAAAAAUU
rnacentral:lncRNA from 1 species